GGCAAAGUACACAUAUAAGAUGUGUGUUGAUAGAAACUAAAAAGCACAUCCUUUCUAUGUUCUGACCUGCUAGGUUUUUUUUAAUUCCAGAAAGUUAUUUGAUAACCACAUAACAUCUCAAGAACUAGUUGGGUUUGAAUUUCAGCUCUGCCUUAUAUUAACUCUGGGAUCUUAGGUAAUUUAUUCAACUUUUCCUUACCUCAGUUUCCCAUUUAUAAGAUGAUUAAUAUAUAUGCAGUACUGCUUUGCAUAUAAUAAUAGCUCAGUGAACCACAGAGAUGACCCCCCAAAUAGAUAUUCUAUUCCAUACUUUGUCCUGUUGAGCCAAUUGCUCUACCACAACCACAGCAACAUUUAAAUAUUUUGCGGGAAUCUUAAACACAGCAUGCCCCAAAUCACACUUAUCAUAUUCUGACUGAAAACUGGUUCUUCCAUUGUCUCCAUUUUAUUUUCUGAAUUUGCUAUAAUUCUCCAAUUUAAGCUAAUUGGAAGCUCAAGUUGCUUCCCCAAUUUUGGUACAGUUACCACAUAGCUUUCUUACUCCAUUUUAAGGGUUAAAGGAUUUCAAAUCUGAAAUCUUGCACAGAAUUCUGUCUGCAAAGAAAACUGCACAGAAAAUUUAUAAUGGGAUAUUUGAAGAAAAAAAUAGCUUAUCCUGAACAGCACCAGAAGUUUCAUUUUUUUCUGUACUGUUGUAACUCAGCAGAUAAUGUUUACAUUUGUGUAUAUGUCCUCCAACACAAAUAAGUAUGGUUGCUAAAUAAUAUUAUGUCAUUAAACUUCUUGUUUAAUGCUUCUUCAUUAUGAUUCAUUAUGAUUGUUUAAUGCUUCUUCAUUAUGAUGUGUUAGAAGUUUUUCAAAAGUUUAUACUUUGUCUCUUAGUGGCAAUUAAAAAAGAAAUAAACAUGAACUCCCCAAAUGAGCCACAAAAAUAAAUCAGCAUGUCUAAAUUUCAGAAUGAGAAACAAAGAUGCAAUUCUCUCCUCAGACCAAACGAAGCAGAGAUUUUCAAACUGCAGAGGUGCCACAGAAAAGGCUGAAUUCUCAAGCAUAGUGAGCUUAGACUUUAUAGCUAAAAUAGAAAUUUCAGCUUUUAGAGCUGAAAUAGAAGGUCUGAGCAUUAACAAAACAUUAGAACCUUGCAUUUAAAAAUUAGUAUGAGAAAUUUUUGUUAUUGUGCUGAGACCCUUACACACAUGAUUUCUUCUAGCCAAUACAGGCACAGAUUCAACAAAGAUGGUGCUUUAUUGUGAAAAUAGAAUAUUCACCUUGUCUUCUGACAUCAUAAAGACCACCCACAUUUGCACAGAUGCUGCUGCUAUAGUACUUUCAGGCAAGGCCAAGGCUUCUUGAAAGGCUGGUCAUGCCCCAGUGAUCAAUGAAGAACUCAGGGAUAUCCCAAAACUCAGGACUAUAAGGCACAAUGGGGGAGCAGGUACCAGGUGGCCAGCAUCCUAAAUGACUCUCAGCAGCUGCAGAGAAGACCAUAAUGGAUGGAUAUAUAGGCUGACGUAUAUCAGUUGGCUUCAGUUGUUUGGUGAUAUUCACCAGAUCUAUAUUUUGCUAUUUUAUGGAUAUUAUUUUCAAUUUCUGAGGUAAGUAUAAUAAAUUCUCAAACUAUAAUUGUUAAUUUACCUACUUGUCCACACAGUUCUGUCUGUGAUUGUUUUCUAUAUUUUAACUACAUGUUGUUUGCUGUAUAUUCCUACUGGUUCAUAUCUCCUUAGCCCCUUGUUCCUUUUACCAGUAUAUAUAUUUCAUACCUUUAUGAUUUUUCUUUUUAUCUUAUAAAAAUAUGAAAUUCUUGGAAUAUUUGAAAGAGCUGAGUUUUAAAAUGAUCUAGACUGAUUUGUGUGUGUAAUUUCAUUUCUUUGAUAUUUAUAAGACCACUCAGCUGUUCUAUAUCUUCUUGAGUUAGUUUUGGUCAACUUUUGCUUUUGUUUUUUUAGUAGACUUUAUUUUUUAGAGCAGUUUUAGGUUCACAGCAAAGUUGAGCAGAAGGUACAGAGAUUUCCCAUAUACUCCCCAUACAUGCUGAUAAUGGUUUGGAUACUUAGGCCCUCCAAAUCUCAUGCUGAAGUGUGACCCCUAUGUGGAGAUGGACCAAGUGGGAGGUGUUUGGGUCAUGGGGGAAGAUCCUUCAUGAAUGACUUAGUACUCUCUUCACAGUAACAAGGGGGUUCUCACUCUAUUAGUUUGCAGGAGAACUGGUAGUUAGGGAGUCUUGGCACCUCCUCCUCUCUCUUGCCCCCUCUCUGACCAUGUGACACACCUGCUCCCUUUUUGCCUUCUGCCAUGAGUAAAAGCUUCCUGAACCUUCACUAGAAGCAGAUGCUGGUGCCAUGCUUCUUGUAUAGUCUGCAGAACAAUGAGCCAAAUAAACCUCUUUCCUUUAUAAAUUACUCAGCCUCUGGUAUUUCUUUAUAGCAAUGCACAAUGGACUAAGACAGAUGCAUACGUCCUCUAUGACCAACAUCCCCCAUCAGAGUGACACCAUUGUUACAACUGAUAAACCUACACUGACACACCAUCAUCACCUAAAAGUUUGCAGUUUACAUUAGGGUUCAGUCACUCUUGGUAUUGUGCAUUCUGUGGGUUUGGACAAAUGUAUAUACUAUUAUAGUAUCAUACAGAAUAAUUUCACUGAUUUUUAAAUUCUCUGUUCUCUGCCUGUUCAUGCCUUCCUCUCUCCCACUAAGCCCUGGCAAC
rnacentral:lncRNA from 10 species